GCAUAACGUCGCAAGACCAAAGAGGGGGGACCUUCGGGCCUCUUGCCAUCAGAUGUGCCCAGAUGGGAUUAGCUAGUAGGUGGGGUAACGGCUCACCUAGGCGACGAUCCCCUAGCUGGUCUGAGAGGAUGACCAGCCACACUGGAACUGAGACACGGUCCAGACUCCUACGGGAGGCAGCAGUGGGGAAUAUUGCACAAUGGGCGCAAGCCUGAUGCAGCCAUGCCGCGUGUAUGAAGAAGGCCUUCGGGUUGUAAAGUACUUUCAGCGGGGAGGAAGGGAGUAAAGUUAAUACCCUUGCUCAUUGACGUUACCCGCAGAAGAAGCACCGGCUAACUCCGUG
rnacentral:rRNA from 1 species